rnacentral:lncRNA from 10 species
UAGCACUCACCUGAUAAAUCCACCAUCCAGCAUCAGCGAACACUUCCAUCUCUGCUUCUACACCUGGCUCUGAAAGUGGCUGGAAGACCUCUGAACACACGCAUCUGAGAUAAGCAAGCCCUGACCAUAAAUUGCAAAGAUUCCACCUACAGAUGGCUAUGCAAUCCCAAUACCAGCCUGUAACAGCAACUUCCAUUUGCAUGGGGCCUUUUGAUGGAACCCGGUUUUCCCUGUCCUGAACGAGUUUUUCGUGACCCUUCAUUCCCUUCAUGACAGAGCAAGAAAGGAAAAAAUGCAACCUAUCCCUUCAAUGCCCCCUUUCAGCAGGAAGUAACCAGACUCCACACUCCUCUUCACUGUGGUGUUUUCCCUUUCUUGAGACCCCAAUUGUCAGGCCUGAGCCCAAGCUAAGUGAUCAUAUCCCCUGCGACCUGCACAUAUAUAUCCAGAUGGCCUGAAGCAACUGAAGAACCACAAAAGAAGUGAAAAUAGCCAGUUCCUGCCUUAACUGAUGGCAUUCCACCACUGUGAUUUGUUCCUGCCCCACCCUAACUGACCAAUUGACCUUGUGACAUUCCUUCUCCGGGGCAAUGAAUCUCAGGAGCUCCCCACCAAGCAUCUUGUGACCCCCACUCCUGCCCACAAGAGAACAACCCCCUUUAACUGUAAUUUUCCACUACCUACCCAAAUCCUAUAAAACUGUCCCACCCCAUCUCUCUCCCUUUGCUGACUCCUUUUUCAGAUUCGCCCACCUACGCCCAGGUGAUUAAAAAGCUUUAUUGCUCACACAAAGACUGUUUGGUGGUCUCUUCACACGGACGCAUGUAACAUUUGGUGCUGAAGACCUGGGACAGGGGGAUUCCUUCAGGAGACUGGUCCCCUGUCCUCGCCCUCACUCCUUGAGGAGAUCCACCUACGACCUUGGGUCCUGAAAUCAGCCCAAGGAACAUCUCACCAAUUUCAAAUCAGGACCCCACUGGAAAUCAGACUGUCCAACUUGCCCAGCAGCCAUUCCUAGAGCCCCUGGAACUCUGGCCCAAGGCUCUCUGACUGACUCCUUCCCAGAUCUUCUCGGCUUAUCAGCUGAGGACUGACGCUGCCCAAUCGCCUCGCAAGCCUCCUGGACCAUCACAGACACUUCAGACAGGAAUGUCAGGCCUCUGAACCCAAGCUAAGCCAUCAUAUCUCCUGUGACCUGCACGUAUACAUCCAGAUGGCCUGAAGCAACUGAAGAACCACAAAAGAAGUGAAAAUAGCCAGUUCCUGCCUUAACUGAUGACACUUCACCACUGUGAUUUAUUCCUGCCCCAUCCUAACUGAUCUUGUGACAUUCCUUCUCCUGGGCAAUGAAUCUCAGGAACUCCCCACCAAGCACCUUGUGACCCCUGCCCCUGCCCACAAGAGAACAACCCCCUUUAACUGUAAUUUUCCACUACCUACCUAAAUCCUAUGAAACUGCCCCACCCCUAUCUCUCCCCUUUUGCUGACUCCUUUUUCGUAUUCAGCUCACUUGCACUCAGGUGAUUAAAAAGCUUUAUUGCUCACACAAAGCCUGUUUGGUGGUCUCUUCACACAGAUGCGGGUAACACCAAUAGGCAGUAGGUAGACAUGAGCACGGGGGAAUUAAAGGGUCAAAGAUUUGACCAAAAUAUUGGUUGGGGGAAAAUGAGGAGAGUGAAAAUCACCUGGUGACCACUGAACAGGUCCCAGAGACUAAAACUCCUAAUCUGAGGAAUUUAGAAGGGAAGAAAGACCACCUGGUGACCAUCAAAGAGGCCAUACAGAGGCAAAACUCCUUAUCUGGGAGAAAAUUAGAAGUAAUUAGACUUCCCUGCGGGGCAUGGUGGCUCACACUUGUAAUCCCAGCA